GAACGAACGCUGGCGGCGCGCCUAAUACAUGCAAGUCGAGCGAGAAGACGUAGCAAUACGUUUGUAAAGCGGCGAACGGGUGAGGAAUACAUGGGUAACCUACCCUCGAGUGGGGAAUAACUAGCCGAAAGGUUAGCUAAUACCGCGUACGCUCCUUGGACUUCGGUUCAGGGAGGAAAGCGAUACCGUGGGUAUCGCGCUCUUGGAUGGGCUCAUGUCCUAUCAGCUUGUUGGUGAGGAACGGCUCACCAAGGCUUCGACGGGUAGCUGGUCUGAGAGGACGAUCAGCCACACUGGCACUGCGACACGGGCCAGACUCCUACGGGAGCAGC
rnacentral:rRNA from 1 species